UUGAACGCUGGCGGCAGGCCUAACACAUGCAAGUCGAGCGCGAAAAGUUUUCGGACUGAGUAAAGCGGCGGACGGGUGAGUAACGCGUGGGAAUCUGCCCAGUAGUGGGGGACAACAGCCGGAAACGGCUGCUAAUACCGCAUACGCCCUACGGGGGGAAGGGGGGAUCUUCGGACCUCUCGCUAUUGGAUGAGCCCGCGUCGGAUUAGCUAGUUGGUGGGGUAAAGGCCUACCAAGGCUACGAUCCGUAACUGGUCUGAGAGGAUGAUCAGUCACACUGGAACUGAGACACGGUCCAGACUCCUACGGGAGGCAGCAGUGGGGAAUAUUGGACAAUGGGGGCAACCCUGAUCCAGCCAUGCCGCGUGUGUGAAGAAGGCCUUAGGGUUGUAAAGCACUUUCAGUGGGGAGAAAGGUUUGUCACCUAAUACGUGAUGUAAUUGAUGUUACCCACAGAAGAAGCACCGGCUAACUCCGUGCCAGCCGCCGCGGUAA
rnacentral:rRNA from 1 species